GCACGGGGCGUUGCGCCGUCUACGUCAGAGGCAUCAAGCAACUGGACUGGGAGAGAAGGCGGCGUGGUGCCCGUCUGGUCGCCUCCGGCAGCGUCAGGCCCCUCAGAUCACUACGCUGCCGAUGAAGCUGACAUUACCAGUAGAAGUUAUUUGGACAGGCAUCCACAGUCGCAUACGUUGAUGAACUGGAGUCAGCUCUCGCAGUCAUUGUGAG
rnacentral:misc_RNA from 1 species